rnacentral:rRNA from 1 species
CCAAAAAGCGGAGGAAAAGAAACUAACAAGGAUUCCCCUAGUAACUGCGAGUGAAGCGGGAAAAGCUCAAAUUUAAAAUCUGGUGGUCUUUGGCCAUCCGAGUUGUAAUCUAGAGAAGUGUUAUCCGCGCUGGACCGUGUACAAGUCCCCUGGAAUGGGGCGUCAUAGAGGGUGAGAAUCCCGUCUUUGACACGGACUACCAGGGCUUUGUGAUGCACUCUCAAAGAGUCGAGUUGUUUGGGAAUGCAGCUCAAAAUGGGUGGUAAAUUCCAUCUAAAGCUAAAUAUUGGCGAGAGACCGAUAGCGAACAAGUACCGUGAGGGAAAGAUGAAAAGAACUUUGGAAAGAGAGUUAAACAGUACGUGAAAUUGUUGAAAGGGAAACGCUUGAAGUCAGUCGCGUCUGCCAGGGAUCAACCUUACUUUUGUGAGGCGUACUUCCUGGUUGAUGGGUCAGCAUCAGUUUUGGUCGCUGGAUAAAGGUCAGAGAAAUGUGGCACCUUCGGGUGUGUUAUAGUCUUUGAUCAGAUACAGUGGCUGGGACUGAGGAACUCAGCGCCGCAAGGCUGUCUUAGGAUGCUGGCAAAAUGGCUUUAAUCGACCCGUCUUGAAACACGGCAAAAGGAAGUCA